rnacentral:rRNA from 1 species
UACGUAGGGUGCGAGCGUUGUCCGGAAUUAUUGGGCGUAAAGAGCUCGUAGGCGGUUUGUCGCGUCGGCCGUGAAAACUUGGGGCUUAACUCCAAGCUUGCGGUCGAUACGGGCAGACUUGAGUUCGGCAGGGGAGACUGGAAUUCCUGGUGUAGCGGUGAAAUGCGCAGAUAUCAGGAGGAACACCUAUAGCGAAGGCAGCUCGCUGGGACGACACUGACGCUGAGACGCGAAAGCGUGGGGAGCGAACAGG